rnacentral:tRNA from 1 species
GAGGGCAUAGUUCAGUGGUAGAAUGUGUGCUUAGCAUGCACAAGGUCCUGGGUUCAAUCCCCGGUCCCCCCA